GUGUAUAGUAAAAAUUUGUUAAUAAAACUCAAUCAUCUUAAGAGUUAGUUGCUAGUUUCACUCGUCUCUCUCUCUCGUGAUUUCUCGGAAAUACAGAAAUAAAGCAUGUGUGUGUUGAUAACAUUGUAUUUUAAUUUGUUGCUUCUCGUGUGAUAAUAUGUGUGUGAGAUGAAAAUGUAAUCUGUUUUUAGGUCCCUCAACAUGCUAUCGAGGGUUGCUAGGUUCGUGUCCCGCUGCAAAAGUUUAACUGAGAAGAAAGAAGCGGGUCGUAUUGUUGGAAUUGCUGCUGGUAUGGGUGCAGUUGCACUCUACAUUCACUCACAGCCACCCCCACCUGUGAAGCAUGAUGUAGACUGUCAAUUCUAUUACAAAGAUGUGCUGCUGUCUGAGGAGGGCUUCACUCGUGAGGAUGAAUGGCUGAAGAAUUUCCAUUUCUUCGAUGAAAGUCUGUUGAAGAAUGAUUACUUCUUCAACCGUAAAGAUAAGGUAUGGGAGCUGAGGUUAUCCUGUCACUACUCUCAGAAAGAUAGAAAGCUACAACUCCAGAAUUUGUCCAUUCGCGGCCUCUGGCCAGCUUACAUUAUCAAUGGCAAGGUAAAGCAUGAGCUUAAUAAUGAUAAAGAAAUCUCAGUAAACAUGCCAAUUGCUAAACAGCUACUUGAAGAGCUUGGCAUAGAUUUUCCAAACAUCAAAAACAAAAUGGGCAAAAUUUGGACCAGUACAUUCCAUACUCUAAAACCAGAAAAUCUUUGGGCGAUGGAAAUGAGUGCGAGAGGAACACUAGACUACUGGUACUGGAUCAAGGCAGUACAAGUAGCAGCACCGUUUUUUUAUGAUGAUGGACAAUGCAUGUUCAUGGAUUGGAUGAAAGAGUGGAACUACAAUCGUGGCAAAUUCAGUUGCCUUGACUUCGAAGAUCAUAUGAGUUUGCAGCUGGGUAAAAGAGUACGUGUAAUAUACAAGAUAAUGAUUGAUAAGAAGGUAUACAUGUAUCAAAUAGGUAUAUUGUUUGAUAACUCUUUUAACAUGGUGAACUACCCCCCUCACAAACUUGGAUUUGAAGAGUUUGUACUGGAAAGGCAUGAGCAAUCUGAUACUGAAGACGAAUCUGAUACUGAACAACUAUCUGAUUAUGAUGAGAAAUCAGAUUUUGAAGAGAAAUCAGAUUUUGAAGAGCACUAUGAAGAGCAAUCUAAAAAUGAAGAGCAAUCUCACAACGAAGAGAAAUUUAACUAUGAUGAGCAAUUUGAAACAGAUUCGGACUUCGGAGAACUGGGAACGGUGCAACAGGAGGCUAAUGGUCAAGAUCUAUUUGGCAGACUCUGCAAGCUUUUCAAGUUCUCGAAGCAUUGGUCUCUCUCUCUCUCUCUCUCUCUCUCUCUCUCUCUCUCAUAUAUACAAAAAUUAACCAAGCUCACUUUUGAUCUAACCGAGUACUAAAAUUAAUAUAAGGCUUCCACGAUAGGCUUUAUGAACAAAAAGACACUUAUCCUCACAGAUUGAAUACUUGGCUAAGACAUCAACACCAAUGUCUAUUUGUAACUAAUUAAGAUUAUGUUAGCAAUUACCAGUAUCUACGAUAUGUGUAUCAUCGGUGUAUAAAACCCACAAAAUUUAAAAAGCCUUAAAAUAUUGAGCUCCAAACUUCAUUGAAUUAUUCUAAACAUUAACAUAAAUAAAAUUAACUAAUACCUUAAAAUUAACUUCUUUGAGAAACGUACUAUCAAUAAUGAGCAUGCUUGGGACCACUUGAAUGUCAGCAUCUCUCCACCAUUCAGCAUCUUGCGGCUAAAGACAAGAAACAUUAAAGUAACUAGUAAGAGUAACAUCAGCAAAUCAGCUAUUUAUGUCAGUUAUAUGUAAUAGAAGGUAAGAUAUCAAUACCAAUGUUUAGUUAUGACUAAUUAAAGUUUAUACUUGCAAUUAGCUAUAUCUAUAAUAUGAUUUUGUCAGUAUAUAAAACCCGCAGUCCAUACUUCUUUUAUACCACAAAUAAUGGUAUGACAAGGGACAACUUAAAUUCUUUUAUCAUUCCACGAUUCUAUCUUAAUUUCCUUUUGGAUUCUUGAUUUAACAGAGAGACGAAGCAUAAUGUCCCUUGACAGACAUCAGUGCAAAGGUAGACCAGAAUGGAGCAACAAAAGAGGAUGGCUGAUACUAUGUGUGAUAUGAGAAAUUUGUGUUCUUUCUUUGGAAUGAAACUAGAACUAUGUGUGAUGCAUUACUAUCAAAUGCUUCAAAAGUUGCCACUUUUACUCUAUUCUAUACGCUUUCAACUUACUGUCCAUGUAUAAAGAUAUCAAGUAUGUUGAUGCUUCAAAAGUUGCCAUAUUUACUCUAUUCUAUACGCUUCCAACUUACUGUCCAUGUAUUAAAUAUCAAGUAUGUUGAAAUCUCUCUCUCUCUCUCUCUCUCUCUCUCUCUCUCUCUCUCUCCCUCCCUCCCUCCCUCCCUCCCGCCCUCUCUCUCUCUCCCUCUCUCU